GACGAACGCUGGCGGCGUGCUUAACACAUGCAAGUCGAACGGAAAGGCCCUGCUUUUGUGGGGUGCUCGAGUGGCGAACGGGUGAGUAACACGUGAGUAACCUGCCCUUGACUUUGGGAUAACUUCAGGAAACUGGGGCUAAUACCGGAUAGGAGCUCCUGCUGCAUGGUGGGGGUUGGAAAGUUUCGGCGGUUGGGGAUGGACUCGCGGCUUAUCAGCUUGUUGGUGGGGUAGUGGCUUACCAAGGCUUUGACGGGUAGCCGGCCUGAGAGGGUGACCGGCCACAUUGGGACUGGGAUACGGCCCAGACUCCUACGGGAAGCAGCAGUGGGGAAUAUUGCACAAUGGGCGGAAGCCUGAUGCAGCAACGCCGCGUGCGGGAUGACGGCCUUCGGGUUGUAAACCGCUUUCGCCUGUGACGAAGCGUGAGUGACGGUAAUGGGUAAAGAAGCACCGGCUAACUACGUG
rnacentral:rRNA from 1 species